UACGUAGGGGGCAAGCGUUGUCCGGAAUCAUUGGGCGUAAAGAGCGUGUAGGCGGCCUGAUAAGUCGGUUGUGAAAGUCAAGGGCUCAACCCUUGAAUGCCGACCGAUACUGUCAGGCUAGAGUCCGGAAGAGGCGAGUGGAAUUCCUGGUGUAGCGGUGAAAUGCGCAGAUAUCAGGAGGAACACCGGUGGCGAAGGCGGGUCUCUGGGCCGAUACUGACGCUGAGGAGCGAAAGCGUGGGGAGCGAACAGG
rnacentral:rRNA from 1 species